CACCGCGGUUAUACGAGAGACCCUAAUUGAUAGCUACGGCGUAAAGGGUGGUUUAGGAUAAAAGUAAAUAAAGCCAAAGACCUUCCCAGCUGUCGCACGCACCCCGAGGGCACGAAGCCCCACUACGAAAGUAGCUUUAUCACAAUCUUCCUGACCCCACGAAAGCUAAGAAA
rnacentral:rRNA from 1 species